rnacentral:antisense_RNA from 1 species
CUUGAUGGAGCCGAUCCACAGCGGGCGCUCGGCCGACCGGGCGCGGCCGUAGGUGUCCAGGACCGCGUUCACCUC